GCCUCGGUAGUUCGGUGGUUAGCGCGUUGUGCUAGCAAUCCGGAGCUCGCGGGUUCGAAUCUCCGCCUCGGAAG